UGGGGAAUAUUGGACAAUGGAGGAAACUCUGAUCCAGCAAUUCUGUGUGUGUGAAGAAGGUUUUAGGACUGUAAAACACUUUUAGUAGGGAAGAAAAAAAUGACGGUACCUACAGAAGAAGCAACGGCUAAAUACGUGCCAGCAGCCGCGGUAAUACGUAUGUUGCGAGCGUUAUCCGGAAUUAUUGGGCUUAAAGGGCAUCUAGGCGGUAAGACAAGUUGAAGGUGAAAACCUGUGGCUCAACCAUAGGCUUGCCUACAAAACUGUUGAACUAGAGUACUGGAAAGGUGGGUGGAACUACACGAGUAGAGGUGAAAUUCGUAGAUAUGUAUAGGAAUGCCGAUGAUGAAGAUAACUCACUGGACAGAAACUGACGCUGAAGUGCGAAAGCUAGGGGAGCAAACAGG
rnacentral:rRNA from 1 species